rnacentral:rRNA from 1 species
GGGGUACGAGCGUAGGGUUCUAGCGAGCCCAACCUCCCACCCGUGUUUACUGUACCUUAGUUGCUUCGGCGGGCCCGCCAUUCAUGGCCGCCGGGGGCUCUCAGCCCCGGGCCCGCGCCCGCCGGAGACACCACGAACUCUGUCUGAUCUAGUGAAGUCUGAGUUGAUUGUAUCGCAAUCAGUUAAAACUUUCAACAAUGGAUCUCUUGGUUCCGGCAUCGAUGAAGAACGCAGCGAAAUGCGAUAACUAGUGUGAAUUGCAGAAUUCCGUGAAUCAUCGAGUCUUUGAACGCACAUUGCGCCCCCUGGUAUUCCGGGGGGCAUGCCUGUCCGAGCGUCAUUGCUGCCCAUCAAGCACGGCUUGUGUGUUGGGUCGUCGUCCCCUCUCCGGGGGGGACGGGCCCCAAAGGCAGCGGCGGCACCGCGUCCGAUCCUCGAGCGUAUGGGGCUUUGUCACCCGCUCUGUAGGCCCGGCCGGCGCUUGCCGAACGCAAAUCAAUCUUUUCCAGGUUGACCUCGGAUCAGGUAGGGAUACCCGCUGAACUUAAGCAUAUCAAGGG